AACUAUAAACUAUGCCGACUAGGGAUCGGACGAUGUUAUUCUUUGACGCGUUCGGCACCUUUCGAGAAAUCAAAGUGCUUGGGCUCCAGGGGGAGUAUGGUCGCAAGGCUGAAACUUAAAGAAAUUGACGGAAGGGCACCACCAGGGGUGGAACCUGCGGCUUAAUUUGACUCAACACGGGGAAACUCACCAGGUCCAGACACAGUGAGGAUUGACAGAUUGAGAGCUCUUUCUUGAUUCUGUGGGUGGUGGUGCAUGGCCGUUCUUAGUUGGUGGAGUGAUUUGUCUGCUUAAUUGCGAUAACGAACGAGACCUUAACCUGCUAAAUAGCCCGUACUGCUUUGGCAGUUCGCCGGCUUCUUAGAGGGACUAUCGGCUCAAGCCGAUGGAAGUUUGAGGCAAUAACAGGUCUGUGAUGCCCUUAGAUG
rnacentral:rRNA from 1 species